UUACUGCGCAGGUGACGA
rnacentral:misc_RNA from 1 species